UACGUAUGGAGCAAGCGUUAUCCGGAUUUACUGGGUGUAAAGGGAGCGUAGACGGUUUGCCAAGUCUGAUGUGAAAGGUGGGGGCUCAACCCCCAAACUGCAUUGGAAACUGGUAGACUAGAGUGUCGGAGAGGUAAGUGGAAUUCCUAGUGUAGCGGUGAAAUGCGUAGAUAUUAGGAGGAACACCAGUGGCGAAGGCGGCUUACUGGACGAUAACUGACGUUGAGGCUCGAAAGCGUGGGGAGCAAACAGG
rnacentral:rRNA from 1 species